AAAAAAGCACAGAUGGGAAAGAGUAACAUAGGGAAAACAGACAGAGAGCUGCCGGCAGGUGAGAGGCGCGUGGGGAACUUAUGUGAAUACCUCCCGGAGCUCUGCACCGAACACCUCAGAGAUAUUGUAAGGGUAAGUAGGCUGCAGCGGAGUGGCAUCCGUUAACAUGCUUAAGUAACAGAGAGAACCGUUGUUUAUCAUAACAAUGGCAUGGUUUGUUACUUAUUGAGGCAGAGAAUGCGAGUUUUCUGCGAAUUUAGGUGGUAUCGCGGGACCCGGUUCUCGUCCUAAAU
rnacentral:ncRNA from 1 species